UAGAGUUUGAUCCUGGCUCAGAGUGAACGCUGGCGGCAGGCCUAACACAUGCAAGUCGAACGGCAGCACAGGAGAGCUUGCUCUCUGGGUGGCGAGUGGCGGACGGGUGAGGAAUACAUCGGAAUCUACCUUUUCGUGGGGGAUAACGUAGGGAAACUUACGCUAAUACCGCAUACGACCUUCGGGUGAAAGCAGGGGACCUUCGGGCCUUGCGCGAUUAGAUGAGCCGAUGUCGGAUUAGCUAGUUGGUGAGGUAAAGGCUCACCAAGGCGACGAUCCGUAGCUGGUCUGAGAGGAUGAUCAGCCACACUGGAACUGAGACACGGUCCAGACUCCUACGGGAGGCAGCAGUGGGGAAUAUUGGACAAUGGGCGCAAGCCUGAUCCAGCCAUGCCGCGUGGGUGAAGAAGGCCUUCGGGUUGUAAAGCCCUUUUGUUGGGAAAGAAAAGCAGUCGAUUAAUACUCGAUUGUUCUGACGGUACCCAAAGAAUAAGCACCGGCUAACUUCGUGCCAGCAGCCGCGGUAAUACGAAGGGUGCAAGCGUUACUCGGAAUUACUGGGCGUAAAGCGUGCGUAGGUGGUGAUUUAAGUCCGUUGUGAAAGCCCUGGGCUCAACCUGGGAAUUGCAGUGGAUACUGGGUCACUAGAGUGUGGUAGAGGGUAGCGGAAUUCCCGGUGUAGCAGUGAAAUGCGUAGAGAUCGGGAGGAACAUCUGUGGGCGAAGGGGCUACCUGGACCAACACUGACACU
rnacentral:rRNA from 1 species